rnacentral:rRNA from 1 species
AUUGAACGCUGGCGGCAGGCUUAACACAUGCAAGUCGAGCGAGCGGCGGACGGGUGAGUAAUGUAUGGGGAACUGCCUGAUGGAGGGGGAUAACUACUGGAAACGGUAGCUAAUACCGCAUACCAUCGGAUGUGCCCAGAUGGGAUUAGCUAGUAGGUGGGGUAAUGGCUCACCUAGGCGACGAUCCCUAGCUGGUCUGAGAGGAUGACCAGCCACACUGGAACUGAGACACGGCCCAGACUCCUACGGGAGGCAGCAGUGGGGAAUAUUGCACAAUGGGCGCAAGCCUGAUGCAGCCAUGCCGCGUGUGUGAAGAAGGCCUUAGGGUUGUAAAGUACUUUCAGCGAGGAGGCGUUACCCGCAGAAGAAGCACCGGCUAACUCCGUGCCAGCAGCCGCGGUAAUUC